rnacentral:rRNA from 1 species
UACGAAGGGGGCUAGCGUUGUUCGGAUUUACUGGGCGUAAAGCGCGCGUAGGCGGAUCGCUAAGUCAGGGGUGAAAUCCCAAGGCUCAACCUUGGAACUGCCUUUGAUACUGACGAUCUGGAGAUUGGGAGAGGUGAGUGGAAUUCCGAGUGUAGAGGUGAAAUUCGUAGAUAUUCGGAGGAACACCAGAAGCGAAGGCGGCUCACUGGCCCAAUACUGACGCUGAGGCGCGAAAGCGUGGGGAGCAAACAGG